AUUUGUGAUUCUACUGUGAAUCAACCAAGACUGAACAAAGUCUUGAAUUGUGGACUUGCAGGUGUGGGAGUGUUUGGUGAAUUCUUUUCCCGCUUUUUCAAACAUGGAAGCUGCACUAAAAAGAUUCAUAUUAAUCAGUUAAAACCUGUCUUUAGUACAUAUUUGCACUUCUGUAAUUCCUAGAUUCUCUGUGACUCACCUUCAGCAGCCCAUUCCUGUUCCAUGCUCUGUGGUGAGCAGACAUACAGACAGCUACGCUGGUACAAGUGAAUGCCUGAAGCAGAGACUGCUCAUCCGGCUGAUGAGGAAAUCAAACUUUGUUGAAUUAUACAAGCAGGAGAUGAAGGAAGACUAAAAGCCAGCCUUGCUGGAAUUCAGAAUGUGCAUAUGCAAUCUGCAUUUGCCUACCGGGAGAUCCCUGGCAAGCACUUACUUCUCUAUUCUUCUGUAACAGAUCAGAGUUAUGCUCAGCACAAGUUAAGCAGAGAAAUGUGGAAUCAUCUCUCCAUCAGUUAUGCUGGGCAGCUUUGCAAACAGCCAGCUUUAGGAAGAGAGGAGGCUGAAGAGCACAGCCAUCUAACACCCUUCAAUAAAAACA